AAAUUUUAAUGCCUCAGCUGUCUGCUUGGCGUGUGCGUAGAAAUGCACGGUUGAGGGAGAGAAAAAGGUCUGAAGCAAUUGAAUUGCAGAAGCUUCGAAAGACUGCAACAAGAAGGUGCAGAAACUGCUUGACACCAUAUAGGGAUCAGAAUCCAGGUGGUGGUAGAUUUAUGUGUGCUUAUUGUGGCCAUAUUUCCAAGAGGNNNNNNNNUGCCUGUACCUCCUGGAUUGGGAAUGUCUAAUUCUGGGAUUAUUAAGGAUCUGGUUGGCAG
rnacentral:misc_RNA from 1 species